rnacentral:tRNA from 1 species
GGACGGUAGCUCAGAGGUCAGAGCAGCGGUGAAAGCCGCUGGCCACCGGUUCGAUUCCGGUUCGUCCACCA